GAUGACGCUGGCGGCAGGCCUAACACAUGCAAGUCGAACGAGUGGCGGACGGGUGAGUAAUGUCUGGGAAACUGCCCGAUGGAGGGGGAUAACUACUGGAAACGGUAGCUAAUACCGCAUACCAUCGGAUGUGCCCAGAUGGGAUUAGCUAGUCGGUGGGGUAACGGCUCACCUAGGCGACGCUCCCUAGCGGGUCUGAGAGGAUGACCAGCCACACUGGAACUGAGACACGGUCCAGACUCCGACGGGAGGCAGCAGUGGGGAAUAGUUGAAAAUGGGCGAAAGCCUGAUGGAGCCAUGCCGCGUGUAUGAAGAAGGCCUUCGGGUUGUAAAGUACUUUCGGCGGGGAGGCGGUACCCGCAGAAGAAGCAACGGCUAACUCCGUGCCAGCAGCCGCGGUAAUUC
rnacentral:rRNA from 1 species